GCAGCAGGGCUGUGCUCCAGUUCUCCGUGGCUCUGCCUUGCUGGGGGCCUGCUGAGCUGGAUGGGGUGCAUCCAAACUUGGCCUCGUGGUGACAGUCCAAGCCCAGCAAAGGAGUUUCUACUUCGACUGAAGCAUUUACCUAGAUGGCUACUUGCCCUGUGUAGUUCCGUGUUUUUCCAACUAUCUUUUAAGAAGUGGACUGGGGAUGAAGCUGACAGCACUGGAAGAAGAUCUGAUGUACUUUCAGCUCUUUGACUUGCCUUUGAAACUCUGGACCUGAUUGAUUCUGGCUCUGUAUCUGACCAAGGUCGCUUUGGG